AGCUUUGUGCAGUGGCAGUAUCAUAGCCAAUGAGGUUUAUCCAAGGUGCAAUUAUUGCUAAUUGAAAACUUCCCAAUACCCCACCGUGACGACUUGUAAUAUAGUUGGCGUUGGCAGUUUUUGACAGUCUCUAUGGAGA